UACGUAGGGUGCACGCGUUAAUCGGAAUUACUGGGCGUAAAGCGUGCGCAGGCGGUUAUGCAAGACAGAUGUGAAAUCCCCGGGCUCAACCUGGGAACUGCAUUUGUGACUGCAUAGCUAGAGUGCGGCAGAGGGAGAUGGAAUUCCGCGUGUAGCAGUGAAAUGCGUAGAUAUGCGGAGGAACACCGAUGGCGAAGGCAAUCUCCUGGGCCUGCACUGACGCUCAUGCACGAAAGCGUGGGGAGCAAACAGG
rnacentral:rRNA from 1 species